UGAUGUUACCACUUUAUUUUAGGGAGAGGGGGUUUUGACAUCAAUAAUCUUUUGCUUCUUCCCCAAUUUCUCAAAGUAAUUCGUCAUUUCUCUCUGUAAAAUUCUCCAAUUAUGUUCUUCAAUCGGUAACCACUUUUUAGGUGGCUUGAUUAGCCAAUUGUGUAUUCUCUGCUAAAUGAAGUUUAGGAAGAUGAGAGAGAAGAAGACAAUGGCAAGGAGGGGAAGGAGAAGACGUCGGUGACGAUGAAGAAGAGAUGACGAUAGCUAAAAAGAGGUGCACAUGAGGGAUAAGAAUGACAAGGGAAGAUGGGGAAUGUGAGAUAUGCACCUGAGAUGCGCAUUGUACAAGUCACAUGUAUAAGUUUUUGUCAAACAUCAUUCAUAACUAUUUUGUGAUUCUGAUA